GUCGAGGGGCAUCACAGUUUCGCAGCAAUGCGGGAUGGGUGGCGACCGGCAAACGGGUGCGGAACACGUACACAACCUUCCGGUGAGAGGGGGAUAGCCCAGAGAAAUUUGGAUUAAUACCCCAUACUAUAGUGAUCAGGCAUCUGGUUAUUAUCAAAGGCUUCGGCCGCUUAUUGAUGGGUGUGCGUCUGAUUAGGUAGUUGGUGGGGUAGAGGCCCACCAAGCCUGCGAUCAGUAGCUGAUGUGAGAGCAUGAUCAGCCACACGGGCACUGAGACACGGGCCCAACUCCUACGGGAGGCAGCAGUAAGGAAUAUUGGACAAUGGGCGAAAGCCUGAUCCAGCCAUGCCGCGUGAAGGAUUAAGGUCCUCUGGAUUGUAAACUUCUUUUAUCUGGGACGAAAAAAGGGAAUUCUUUCUCACUUGACGGUACCAGAUGAAUAAGCACCGGCUAACUCCGUGCCAGCAGCCGCGGUAAUACGGAGGGUGCAAGCGUUAUCCGGAUUCACUGGGUUUAAAGGGUGCGUAGGCGGGUAGGUAAGUCAGUGGUGAAAUCCUUGAGCUUAACUCGAGAACUGCCAUUGAUACUAU
rnacentral:rRNA from 1 species